AAUAAAUCAGCAAAACAGAUAAAAAUGAAAAAAAAUCAAAAAACUUGAACAAAAACCAGAUUUCAGCUACGAUACCAUAACCCACAACAACAAAGUCUUCAGCGAACAAAUGUUGCAAUUUUCUUAGCACCCUACAAGAGAACCCACAGGAAUGAAAUGCCUUCCAAACAAAAGUCCCAUCUUUCUUAGCCCUUCGAUAGAAAACCGACAACACCGAACCCAUAAUCG
rnacentral:lncRNA from 1 species